UACGUAGGCAGCAAGCGUUGUUCGGAGUUACUGGGCGUAAAGGGUGUGUAGGCGGUUGUUUAAGUUUGGUGUGAAAUCUCCCGGCUCAACCGGGAGGGUGCGCCGAAUACUGAAUAACUAGAGUGCGGGAGAGGAAAGUGGAAUUCCUGGUGUAGCGGUGAAAUGCGUAGAGAUCAGGAAGAACAUCGGUGGCGAAGGCGCUCUGCUGGACCAUAACUGACACUCAGGGACGAAAGCUAGGGGAGCGAAUGGG
rnacentral:rRNA from 1 species